UAGGUUUUCCAGAUUUGGGGGAGAGUUCAUCAUUGAGCCAUGCCAUCUUUUUGUAGGAGUUCCAGUCCCUCUGGAACACCUUUUUCACUUCAGCUUGGCGCUGGGCUUGCAAUGUAGCGCUCUCACCCGAGUGCACUUCAAAUGCAUGUUGGAUUGAGGGCAGUGGAGAUGGCGCUGCAGUUGGCAGCUCAAUAAAAGAAGUGACAGGAUGCUUGAUGCGGAGUUUUCUCCAUUUAAAUCGGUUGUUUUUAGGCGGCUUGUAUGUUGGAGACGGAUCAUAGCAGGAUUGUGUCCAUGGCUCCUCGGCAAGUGGCUCGGUUAUUAUAUUUAAAAAGGUUGCUGGGGACUCUGGCAAACUGAUGUAGU
rnacentral:sRNA from 2 species